AGCAGCAGCAGCAUGCAUGCAUUGUCCCAGGAUCUAUUACAGUAUAUGGGUGCCCCCUAGCGUAUGAAUUCUUUUUGCUUCAAAUAAGAUUCAAUUUAGAGGAGCCGUCGGACACGGAAACCGAUUCAGUCUGCUCUCUCGCAUCGACCAAACUAACGAGCACCAUUUUAAACUGAUGACUGUUUGUUUAAAUUCUGUUUUACAUGACUUGGACGGCAAACCUUUGAGAGUUGCCAAAGUUGGAUUUACUUUUUGCCACUUCAGGCAGUCCCAGCGGUGAUCCCGUGAACAUGGAAAGUCUGUAAAUAAAAUACCCCGCAAGGUACUGGCUUAUCGAGGACCCAGUUUUGCUUCAAAUGGUAAGUAUGCGAUUUGUAUGCUUUAUUAUGAUAAAUCAGCAAUGUUGCAAUGCUUUAUCCUUCUGCUCACAAUUAAAUCUCAUAUUAAAUAGGCUCAUCUCUUGAAAUAAAAGACGUGUGCUGCAGACGGAGCAUAACGUAGACUACAUAUAUACGAUGCUUCUACAAUGCGCACUGACUACGGACGACUCCGUCAGUCAUCUCUGCCUAUUAUCGCAGCGUUAAUUUAUAUGACGAAUCGCAUCAAGCCCAACUAGUUUGCAAACACCCAUUCAUAAAGUUACCCGAUAGUGAUAGUGAGGCAGGAGGCUGUAUUCUUAUAGUAACAAACCUACCAAAUGCAUAUGUUGCUGAUUCGUCCGUAGCGGGAUGCAUCUUCUCUCUUAUUCAGAAUAUAUUUAGUCUUCUCUUUUUCGACACAGUGCUCAGACUGAAGCUGGCAAAGCUUCCUCUCCAACAGACGGGAUCAGACACAAAAAGCACGCUGUUUAUUGGAAAAUUGCAAUGUCUGAUCAUGCAAAAACUUUGGAGAGCCAAAACAAACAACUGAUUCACGUCAUGUGUUGUUAGGCGAGAGACUGGAAAUAUAAGUUGACGUGUCGUCCGAGCAGAAUAUCAUUUGAUUGCCUCUGGAAAUGAUAAGUAAGCUUUACAGCAGGCAGAGAGAGAGAGAGAGAGAGAUCCUGUGCGCCUUUUUCUCUCCUACAGUAAUAUGGCCAAAACGCGCUCGUACGCGGCUGCUUUGUGUGGGCUAUUGAGGCGAGAGGGAGGGGGUGAAGUCAGAACAGACACCUGUCUUUAAGUAUGGCGAGCAAUCUUUAUGAGAUUUUGCAUAUUAGGAAAUAUAUGGAGAAAGCAAGCCAAGACGCAAUAUCAGCCAAGCUAUUAUUAAACACGUAAAAAUUAAUUUAGCAUAAAUAAUUUAAUAAAUGCUCUAACUUUAUCCUACAAAAUGCUAAUACAUGAGUUAUUAUUAUUAUUAUUAUUAUUAUUAUUAUUAUUAUUAUUAUUAUUAUUAUUAUUAUUAUUGUUGUUAUUAUUAUUAUUAUUAAGAAAUAUCAGUAAUGACAUAAGAGGGUAAUUAACCUUUUAGCAGAUACUCCUUUAGCAUGUAUGCAUCAGGCAGAUAGUAGGAAAGCCUAUAUAUAAAUUAUGACUGCCCAAUGAACCACGCGUAAAUAUGCACAGAAAUUUGCGCACUAUUUUCUUAACGCAUAAACGUUCCCACAGCAGCACAACUGCUUAACUAUUAGACCCCCCACUUCAAAACUCUUGUCCUGCAGUUUUUCUUAAUUCGCGGAUUUAAAAGUUUCCUGUGUGAUUUGUACUGGUUCUCCUUUUCAAGCAGAGGAUAAAAGCAGUAUAUGCUCAGCAAGCCUGCAUGCACAUAACAAUUGCGCUGCCCAACGGGAUCAGUAUCGAUUAAAGAGGAGACAGAGGAUGUCGCCUGCACUAAAUAUUUACUGAUCACAGACAAAUAGCUAGAUCUUUAACGAUUUCCCAUGCUCUGACAGGGAGAAAGGACUAAAUCACUUUAUUAUUGUUAGUAAAACAAAGCACAGUCUCUGGAACACGGGACUGGAGAUGUGCUGAUUGGAAUGAUUGCAGUUAAAUUAAUCGAUAGCGAGAUAGACAAUUCUUGAGAUUUACAGGCGUGCGAAGGAAAAGCUUUCCCUCCAAUAUCAGGUUAAACUGGGAAGUGCGCUCCGACGUGAUUAUAUUCUGCAAAACGUUAUAGACAUAUACUAAAAACCGAAUGUAGUUAAAAAAAAAAAAUAAAAUUCCUACAAAUAUGCUUUUAAAACGCACCAACAUCUAAAAAAAGAAAAUUGAACUGCUGACGGCCAAAGAGCUCUCUCACACUUGUGCUAAAUGUCAAAAAUGAAAAAAAAAAAAAAAAGAAGAAGUUGACUUUAAUCUUCCUCCACCAAGUCCUUCAUGCAGAUAGAGGGAUACUGACCCGGAGGUCUCCAAGUUCCCGGCCUGAUUAACCCUUCCAGACCCAAGCAGGAGCAAAGGUUAACCAGUCUAAUCAACUUCAAGAGUCUGAUUGAAUUAGAUGACAGUGUGGAAUCAAGACAGAAACUAAACUGUGCCACUUAAAAAACACCCCGAAGAGAGAUAUUGGUCAUAUUUUUGCCCACUGACGCAAUCUAAAUCAAAAUAUCGUAAAUGAAGAAAGAAUUUCAGAUAACUUAUAAGCUGAUUAUUUUCUAGUUAAAAAGGCAGCACGUCAAAAAAAAAAGAUUACAAGCAUAACACACACAUUAGUAUAAAAACAAAACAAAGAGCCAAAAAAACUUAACACCUCCAAAUUGUUUCUCCUUCAUUUGAUUAUGGUGGAUGUGUCCCAUAUUUCAUGGGACUUUCAUCUGUUGCAUUGAAUAUCAAUCAGUACCUUUUACCUCCGGUAAAGGUUGACUCUUUGGAAUGGUAGGUCUUUGUGAUAUUAUGGGUAGGGAAAAAAGAAACAAACCAAAUAUUCAAAUUUUUUUAUUUUUUUACCAACAUUAUUACAGGACCAAAGAACAAAAAGGCAGCAUAAGAAAAGUAGCAUGAUGUAGGGAUAUUUUAAAGUUUACAUUUUUAUGAUAAAUAAACAAACUUAACUUAAUUACAUCAUUAAUAUAGAAUUUGUUCUAUUUUAUUUUAUUUUUUGGCUUUUAUCCUGACCAGACGUACACUGUAGUUUAUUUUGAUAUGAAUAUUUUAAUGGUUAUAUUGCUCUAAACAGGGAUUUUGUAAGGUUUAAAGACUACUGUGCUUGUUUUUCUGAUGUAAAUGUAAUUUUAAUUUGGUCACAAAAAACAGCAUUCCACUACCUCCAGUAACAGCGUUUUAUUAUAAAUGUGGUAUGUGUGCAAGCAAGUUGACGGCAUACGCGUGCAGGCAGUAUAAAAGCAUUUAGCUAUGUGGAGUGUGAGGAAAAAAGGUGUGUUUUAAAGUGUGUUCGUAUAAGCAGCCAUGCAUGUUUCAAUUGAAAACCUUACAUAGAGUUCAUUCAGCGGCGUGGAUCACUUUCUCUCUGUCUGCUUGCCCCAAGGGCCACUAUCUAAAAAGGCAAUAGAUCCCAGAUAGCUCACUGUGUUCAAUUUGCCAAUGACAGAUUAUAGUGCCAGUUUAAACAGAUAGGGAUCAAUUUGUCUCAAUGAAUUCUUUAGGCUGACUGCCAGCAUGCUCUUAAUGUAUUUGUAAAUGCUUUUGGUUUGAAUCAUUGCUGUUAGGUUUAAAGUGAUCAAAACUGUAGAGAGAGAAAGAUGAGUGUUGUAAGCGAUGUGUUGUUUUGGCUGCUAAAGACUGCAUAGAUGGAGCAUGCAUGAUGAUUACUUCAGGCAGCAGCAUUGCAGCAGCAAUGACCAGAGGGUCAAUGGUAUAACUCCAAGGACUCGCUGGGAAAGUCUGGGUAAGGGAAUUGUGUGAUAAGUGCUCUCUAACCCCCAGAAACUGCUGCUGAAGUGCCCAUCGGCCAAGCAGAUUAAAUCCCAUCUGUCCCAGUGGAGCUGUACGGUGACCAUCAGUACAACAGUGCAGUUGUACCAGGCACUUGUGAUAUGUGUCUCUUUGAGCCCCUCACUUUUCCUUUUGAAAGAGAAGAGUGGGCAGUCCGCUUGCUUCACACUUUUUUUUUCAUGCACUCAGAGAGAAAAAGUUUGGGAGAAGAAAGAA